CACGGAGUUAGCCGGGGCUUAUUCUCCCGGUACAGUCAUUAUCUUCCCGGGUAAAAGAGCUUUACAACCCUAAGGCCUCCAUCACUCACGCGGCAUUGCUGGAUCAGGCUUUCGCCCAUUGUCCAAUAUUCCCCACUGCUGCCUCCCGUAGGAGUCUGGGCCGUGUCUCAGUCCCAGUGUGGCUGAUCAUCCUCUCAGACCAGCUAAGGAUCGUCGCCUUGGUAGGCCUUUACCCCACCAACUAGCUAAUCCUACGCGGGCUCAUCCUUGGGCGAUAAAUCUUUGGACUUACGUCAUCAUACGGUAUUAGCAGUAAUUUCUCACUGUUAUUCCGUACCCAAGGGCAGAUUCCCACGCGUUACGCACCCGUGCGCCACUAUGCCCGAAAGCAUCGUUCGACUUGCAUGUGUUAGGCAUGCCGCCAGCGUUCGUUCUGAGCCAGGAUCAAACUCU
rnacentral:rRNA from 1 species